UGACCUGUUCUGUAACAUUCCAUUCACUCUUCAGAAGCACCGGCUACCGCAGCAGCAAGGAAAUGAAUCCUCUCCCGUCCCAACAGGAAUGGACCACACCUCCCUACGAGCUCAAAUUCGCCUGCGUUUCCAAAAAUGGGCGCCAUCACUUAGCCGUCUUCCACUGGACCCUAAACCGUCGGUCCUGUAACAUCUUCCCCCUGACAAGUGGCUUGUAGGACUCUGUCUCUGAAAUUUUCACCAAAACAUCUUAAGUAUAUGCCACCAACACUUGCCAAGCAAAACACAAGGUGCAUGUAAAACUUUAGAAAAAAGGAAAAAGAAGUUCAAAAACUUAAUAAGAAAUGCCACAAAUUGCAGGUGUUACUUGAGAAAGGACAGAAAUUUGUUUUCAAAGAUUUGACUCCAAGUAUUUGCAAAGAUGUGGGGAGAGAGACUCAGCUACUGUUGGAAAUGCCCACUGUGGAAGCUUCUAAUAAAAUCUGACAGCUUGUUUCAAAAUUUAAAGUGUGUAUACUCUUUGACUCAGCAAUUUUUUCCAAGUCUCUCUUCUAAUUUAUAUGUUGGCAAAAGUGUAUGUAUCUGAAUGCCUACAGCAAUCCUGUUUAUAGCAGCAAAUAAACUGAAAUUC